rnacentral:rRNA from 1 species
AUUGAACGCUGGCGGCAGGCCUAACACAUGCAAGUCGAGCGGAUGAAGGGAGCUUGCUCCUGGAUUCAGCGGCGGACGGGUGAGUAAUGCCUAGGAAUCUGCCUGGUAGUGGGGGAUAACGUCCGGAAACGGGCGCUAAUACCGCAUACGCCCUGAGGGAGAAAGUGGGGGAUCUUCGGACCUCACGCUAUCAGAUGAGCCUAGGUCGGAUUAGCUAGUUGGUGGGGUAAAGGCCUACCAAGGCGACGAUCCGUAACUGGUCUGAGAGGAUGAUCAGUCACACUGGAACUGAGACACGGUCCAGGCUCCUACGGGAGGCAGCAGUGGGGAAUAUUGGACAAUGGGCGAAAGCCUGAUCCAGCCAUGCCGCGUGUGUGAAGAAGGUCUUCGGAUUGUAAAGCACUUUAAGUUGGGAGGAAGGGCAGUAAGUUAAUACCUUGCUGUUUUGACGUUACCAACAGAAUAAGCACCGGCUAACUUCGUG